AGUCACUGACAUUAGAUACCCCCGUAGUCCCAGCCGUAGACAAUGUGCGUUAGGUGUGUCGGUAACCACGCGUUACUGAUGCGCCGAAGAGAAAUCGUGAAACGCACCACCUGGGAAGUACGGUCGCAAGGCUGAAACUUAAAGGAAUUGGCGGGGAGCACCACAACAGGUGGAGCCUGCGGUUUAAUUGGAUUCAACGCCGGACAUCUCACCGGAUAAGACAGCUGAAUGAUUGUCAAUCUGAAGGUUAUACAUGACUAGCUG
rnacentral:rRNA from 1 species